GAUGAAGAACGUAGCGAAAUGCGAUAAGUAAUGUGAAUUGCAGAAUUCAGUGAAUCAUCGAAUCUUUGAACGCACAUUGCGCCCGCCAGUAUUCUGGCGGGCAUGCCUGUCCGAGCGUCAUUUCAACCCUCGAACCCCUCCGGGGGGUCGGCGUUGGGGAUCGGGAACCCCUAAGACGGGAUCCCGGCCCCGAAAUACAGUGGCGGUCUCGCCGCAGCCUCUCCUGCGCAGUAGUUUGCACAACUCGCACCGGGAGCGCGGCGCGUCCACGUCCGUAAAACACCCAACUUUCUGAAAUGUUGACCUCGGAUCAGGUAGGAAUACCCGCUGAACUUAAGCAUAUCAAUAAGCGGAGGA
rnacentral:misc_RNA from 1 species